rnacentral:rRNA from 1 species
GAUGAACGCUGGCGGCGUGCCUAAUACAUGCAAGUCGAGCGAACAGACGAGGAGCUUGCUCCUCUGACGUUAGCGGCGGACGGGUGAGUAACACGUGGAUAACCUACCUAUAAGACUGGGAUAACUUCGGGAAACCGGAGCUAAUACCGGAUAAUAUAUUGAACCGCAUGGUUCAAUAGUGAAAGACGGUUUUGCUGUCACAUAUAGAUGGAUCCGCGCCGCAUUAGCUAGUAGGUAAGGUAACGGUCUACCAAGGCACCGAUACAUAGCCGACCUGAGAGGGUGGUCGGCAACACGGGGACUGAGACACGGGCCAGACUACUACGGGAGGCAGCAGUAGGGAAGCUUAGGAAAUGGGGGCAAGCCUGAACGAGCAAAGCCGCGUGAGUGAAGAAGGUUUUCGGAUCGUAAAGCUAUGUUGUAAGUCAAGAACGAGUGUGAGAGUGGAAAGGUCACACUGUGACGGUAGCUUACCAGAAAGGGACGGCUAACUACGUG